rnacentral:rRNA from 1 species
AGCGAACGCUGGCGGCAGGCUUAACACAUGCAAGUCGAGCGGGCCUUUCGGGGUCAGCGGCGGACGGGUGAGUAACGCGUGGGAACGUGCCUUCUGGUUCGGAAUAACUCAGGGAAACUUGAGCUAAUACCGGAUACGCCCUUCUUGGGGAAAGGCUUACUGCCGGAAGAUCGGCCCGCGUCUGAUUAGCUAGUUGGUGGGGUAACGGCCUACCAAGGCGACGAUCAGUAGCUGGUCUGAGAGGAGGAUCAGCCACACUGGGACUGAGACACGGCCCAGACUCCUACGGGAGGCAGCAGUGUGGAAUAUUGGACAAUGGGCGCAAGCCUGAUCCAGCCAUGCCGCGUGAGUGAUGAAGGCCUUAGGGUUGUAAAGCUCUUUUAUCCGGGACGAUAAUGACGGUACCGGAGGAAUAAGCCCCGGCUAACUUCGUGCCAGCAGCCGCCGCGG